UCGCGCAGUCUCGCGUCCAUCACCGAUUGUUCCUUCGUUUCGUGGUUUUCUCCUGUCACGUGAACCUUGGUGAUCUCGCGGAGAGGAAUUCGCGCACGGAUGAAACCUGACAGGAUUUAUCGAGCCGCGUGAUUUAUUUUAAACUACGUCUCCACCGUGGAGAUGUAUGUCGAACGAGUUUUGUUACUGCCGGGUAGGCGGAGAGUAACUCAAGUUUUUCUAGAAUACGCGACGCAAUAAAUUGUCGAAGAAGUAUGACUUGGUCUUCAAAACGCUCGGAAAUUAUGGCGCCGAAGGAGAUGGUAGCUUACCAAAGAAUGGAUGAGCGAGCAUCGAAACGGUACUCGGCAAGUACGUACCGCUCGAGCGGUAAGAAGAAAAACAGAGAAGGGAAACAAACUCAAAGAUAAAUAAAAAGAAGUAAGCCACGUCGUAUCCGUUGCAGUAUCUCGAACUAAUAAAUCAUGGUUUUCGAUAUAAAUGUUACGUGGUCGAGUUACCCCGAGGAGACGUAACUCGAGUUCACGCUGAAAAAUUACCCGCUCUUAAUUCCCGCCGACAUUUAAAGGAACGCACUUAAUUUUUCGUAAUGGCCAAUCAUGGUUAUUUAUAUGCGCAUUUAUGUAUGAACCAUCCAACGAUGGAGAAGUCAUAAAAGAGCGUCGUCGGGCGUCCGAACACCAAAUUUUCCUUUCUUUCACCCUUUCAUCCCGCUGUUCUCCCCUGCUGAUCGAUAGUUAAUGUAAACGUGGCGUAACGAAUAAAACUGGCCUGUCUGCGGGGGGUAAAACGCUUGAUCGUCGUCGUAUAAUUAAGCAUUUUGGCGUGGGCUCGAUAAGACACGCUACGGAGGUAAUUAAACGUCGGCGUGUUUUCAAGAAGCGAUGUCUGACGUUUCGACGCAUCGUUCCGUGUGGCCAAUGUUAAGUUAAAAUUGAGGAUGAGUUUAUUGGGCGGUAUAAUUUUCUGAUUAAAUUUGAUGAUCGAGGCAGAACGAUUUUAGCACUAGAGUUAUCAUGGUGAGAAUUGAAAGAUAGAUAGUAAAUAUUUAAAUUUGAUGAAAAUCGAAUAUAACACGAUAA